rnacentral:rRNA from 1 species
UACGUAGGGCGCGAGCGUUGUCCGGAAUUAUUGGGCGUAAAGAGCUCGUAGGCGGCCUGUUGCGUCCGCUGUGAAAUCCCGGGGCUCAACCCUGGGCGUGCAGUGGAUACGGGCAGGCUGGAGGCAGGCAGGGGAGAACGGAAUUCCCGGUGUAGCGGUGAAAUGCGCAGAUAUCGGGAAGAACACCCGUGGCGAAGGCGGUUCUCUGGGACGGUACUGACGCUGAGACGCGAAAGCGUGGGGAGCGAACAGG